CGCGUACGUCAUAACCGUCGUAAAUGCGGCUUCCCGUCUCUCCUUGAAGCUGUUGUUUUACGACGUUGACCUUUGACCGACACCGAGAGAGGUCCGGAAACAGCGUUUGAUGUGAGUUCGCGAUGGAAUGGUGUUUAGUUUGACGGCCAAAGAAAACAGGAAUUUGUGUAGUUUUGAGCCCAAUAUCAUCCAACUAAAUGAAACAUUAGUCUCCCCCGUCUGAUGACUCUUUCUGUUUUUGAUUCAUGUCUUCUGUGUGAGUUUAGCCUUUGGGAAAUGGUUUAAACGUUCCCUCGUUGCAAGUGCCAUAUUGCCUCCACUGAGCCUUUCUUUUCGUCAUACUUUUAUCUACAAGCGGAGGAGAUGCCUACAUAAACUAACUAGAUGCCUCAUAGGUUUUUAACUACCUUUGAUGGAAUGGUCCAGAAGAUGUGACAGAAACUGAAAAGAGAUGCAACAUACCUAUAAACCCCGUUUAUUUCAAGAAUCUCAAAUAUUGUAACAUUGCCGGAUGCAAACUAUGUUAAAGAUAAAUAGAAAAUACAUGAUUUUGUGAGAAGAUGUUGCGAACAAUAAUGCCUCUGUUGGGAUCAAGCACCAAUCAUCUUAAUUAAGCUCUUGAACAAAACUGAAGGCUGUUUUUCAAUACUAAUGUUUAGCCUAUUUAUUGCCAUUGUGAUAUCUUUUGUUAAAAUCUACUCCAUCACUUUAUUUGACAUUUUACUCGGAGUAAAGAUUACAUUAGAAUAAAUGUUAAGUGAUAUCUUUAUUCAGUUAGUUCAGUUCUAUUUCUCGAAACGAAACAUUGUUUAAAUGUAAGAAUUUCUUAUUCUAAAUUCUUACCUUGUUUUAUUUGUCGACAAGUUACCAGAAGACUGAAAAGUUUGGUGAUUUCAAUUGCAAAUGUAACAUAUUGAAGAUGUAAUUCACCGAUAUUCUAAUCCCAUGAUGAGUCAUUUAAGAAACUAACAAACUAUAUCCAAUGUCUUUGUACAAUUCUGCCCUCUGACUGAGGAAACUUUUCCAGAGUUAACAGUUGCAAAUGCUGCCUAAAGUGCAAAGUAUAUUUCUUGGGGAAAGUACCUAAUUUUAACUGUAAACUGAGCAAAGUGCACUAUAUCACAACAGAAAGGACAAACAAAUGUUUCAAAGCUGCUAUCUUGAACGGAACUGAAGAAUUAUUUUAUUUCACUGCAAUGAUUAUUCUGAAUAGGUGCAGCAUUAGCUUGACUAUUUGAUUACACUGUGACAUUUAAAUCAGAAAAUCAUGGACUUAACCUCCACUCCAAACUUGAGCACGUAAAUCUGGUAUGUCAAUGCUGUGCUGAAGGAAUGGUGCAAUAUCUAAAGUGUUUUCCUUUAGUUGGAGUAUAAACUAAGAUCGAAUUGAAAUGAUGCAAAAGAUCUAACAACAUAGUCUGAACAUAAGCAGAAAGAUUCUCUUAGUGCUCUUGCUAACGUUCAUUCUUCCAUGAUAAUUACAAAAUCAGAUUAGCUGGCCACCUAUCUAUCUCAUUGAUAUGUGUAGGAUUUUGCUGCUCAGAAAACUUGCUUCAGGUUUGUCUACAAAGUGGAAUAAAUCAAUGGAUUGGUUUUGAAGCAGUUUGAGUUAUUUUACGAAUCUGAAAAGUGUUAUAUAAAUGUUAUUCUUUUAAACUACAGUGGAGACUUACUUUCUUUAAUGUGAUACAUUCAAGCACUUUGAAUAAUUAUAAAUGGCAUUGAAUAUUGAAUACAAAUCAAGGUCGUUCAAAUAAAAUGAUUUUAUAAAAAUAAUUCUAAUGUUAUUCCUACAUACUUGGCAUCUUCCAUAUAGCAAAUAAUCGCUUCCACCCAAACAUAUAUUUGAUAAACUUUUACUUGCAUCACAAAUUCUUGUCAUUGUAACUGGUAACAUAAAGGUUCAAUUUCUGUAGUGUGUGUUUAAGUUAAUACAAAUUCACAAAUCACCCCAAGUAAUAAAUUAAACAUACCUAAAUGAGGGAAAAAAAAGCCUUCACAUGAGAUCAGAUUGUUAUCUAACCUCUAUGCUUCACCACAGCAAUUUAUGUUUUAACUCAUUAACUCAUUUUUACAUGGUUAUUCCUUUAAACACAGCUGUUAAAAUGUUAUACAUCUACAGUACAUAAUAAUAGCAGCUAUAAUCUUCUCUUACCAGUCAUGAUCUGAUGUAAUACAUUAACUUUUCAAAAAUACCAACAAAUUAUUCAUUCUUUGACAUCACACAGAAGGAAUAAACAAGCAUCUAAAACUUGUGAAUGAUCAGCUUUUCCCCUCCUCCUGCUUAUUUAUCUUUCUUUCUGAGCAAUUGUUCAAAUUUAGAUUUAGCUGUUGCCUCUUCCAGUACAAGAGAUGGAGUGAGUUGGAUAAUGUUCAGGACACAAAUUGCCUUGUGUAUAUUCUGUGAAGAAAAAUAUGAGAGGUCAUUAUUCAGU